AACGCGAAGAACCUUACCAGGGAUUGACAUGACCGUAGUAGUGAAGCGAAAGCGGAACGACCCUUCGGGGAGCGGCCACAGGUGAUGCAUGGCUGUCGUCAGCUCGUGCCGUGAGGUGUUUGGUUAAGUCCACUAACGAGCGCAACCCCUAGCGCCAGUUACACGUGUCUGGCGCGACUGCCGGUAUUAAGCCGGAGGAAGGUGGGGAUGACGUCAAGUCAGCAUGUCCUUUAUACCCUGGGCGACACACACGCUACAAUGGCCAGUACAAUGGGUUGCCAAGCCGUGAGGCGGAGCCAAUCCUCAAAAGCUGGUCUCAGUUCGGAUUGCAGGCUGCAACCCGCCUGCAUGAAGUCGGAGUUGCUAGUAACCGCAGGACAGCUAUACUGCGGUGAAUACGUUCCCGGGCCUUGUA
rnacentral:rRNA from 1 species